rnacentral:lncRNA from 1 species
AGAGGGAACAGAGGAAUGAAGCAGAGGAUCGAUGACGUGGCAGGAGACGUUGGUGAAACGCGUUUGAAAUAAGAGGAAACCUUUGGAGUGGAGUGGAGGCUUUGCAGUUAGAGCCGGAAACUGAAGAAGUGCUUUAUAUGCACAUUUGAAUUCAUUUCUAUCUUCUUAUGCUUUGAUGUUAAUUGUAUUUAACGAUAUGAGUCAGUACUUUACAGUCGCCAUGAGACUGAUGAUCUCUGCGAUUCUCGCCAUGAGAGUUUUGUAGAUUUCAUACUCAAAGCUGUAUUACAUUCUUAUUCAUUUCUAUAAAGAGUGUGAGAGAUUCGUAUAGUUGAGGUAGCUAAACUCUAUCACACGA